GGAAUUGCUCCUGAGGCAACAAAUGACAUGGUAGGGUGUAAACCAGUACCAAAGACCAAGGAUCAUGCCUGAACUGGAGUGAAAUGUACACUGAACAGAGCAUAUGGUGGGCCUCUUCCAGAUCCUCACAUCAUUGCCAGUGCUGAGAAACUUCAAGACAAACGCCCACAACAAAUUGCUGCACGGGCUUGAGGCCCUUAAUUUUGUGGACUCUAAAUUUGGCCCUGUGCCAUUUGGUUCUUUGCUCUCUUACCAGUGCCUUGUCCGUGGAGAGUCUACUGCAAAAUCCUUAGCUGCUCGCAUUCUGAGAGGAACUCCUCAGACAGCUGCUAUGAAAAGAGGGCUGGACCUGGAACCUGUCAUACUGAGGCAAUAUUCAGAGUUUUGUGACGUCUCUGUGACGCAGUGUGGGGUCAUCAUCCACCCUAAUGCACCUCACCUUGCAUCCAGCCCUGAUGCUAAAAUUUGGGUUGGCAGUGGUAAAGAGUUGUGAUGUUGAAGAUGUUGCUCAAGUUAAACACCUGAUCACAGUUCGAGGCCAGGCCUGCCUUAAGAAAAGCCACAAAUAUUAUUAUCAGGUUCAAGGCCAGCUGGCCUUAAGUGGAGUGAUUUUAUAACAGUUACCCACACUGACUUCACAGUUGAAAGAGUAUUUAGGGAUGAGGAGAUCAUAAACUCAAUGCGACAGAAGCUUGAUUAUUUUUAUCACAUCUACAUGGAUGCAUUAUUACGUUGAGGCAGAAUUUUCAAAUGUAAAUAGUUCAAUGUACAUCUUUGAUGCAUAUAAUUACUGUUGUAAAUAUUUUUUCAAUUUACAACUUCAAUCAAUGUUGCACUGUAUGUAAAUAUAUAUGGGCUUUAUUGUCUGUCAUUGGUCACUUUUUGCUUACCGUAUUUUUCGGACUAUAAAUCGCACCUAAGUAUAAGUCGCAUCAGUCCAAAAAUACGUCAUGACGAGGAAAAAAACAUAUAUAAGUCGCACUGGACUAUAAGUCGCAUUUAUUUAGAACCAAGAACCAAGAGAAAACAUUACCAUCUACAGCCGCGAGAGGGCGCUCUAUGCUGCUCAGUGCUCCUGUAAUCUAUCAGAUCGGCUGCAUAUUUUACAGUUUG
ensembl:lncRNA